rnacentral:lncRNA from 10 species
CUCAAACUCUGGUUGGUGCUAUGGGAAAGGAGCAGUGAUCUUUGAGACCUGAGAGGGGGUCCUGAUGGAGCAGACACCAGCAGAAGGAUCCUUCCGGGAAGUGACGUUGAAGCUAAGCUUGAAAAGAAAGAAGCCAGUGGACAUCUUCUGGUGAGACCCAGAGCACCCCACCUGCAAGGGGCCUGAUCUCCCUUGAACCAAGAGCCCUGCCACUCGCCCCAGCUGCCUAAAGGCUGACAGGAGAAGAGGGAGUCAGAAUGGUGCUCCAAACAGAGCUCACUGGAAUCUCAGCUCAGCCAUUUACUUGCUCUGUCAACUUGGGCUCUCGCUGCAGAUGUCAUUAGUGAAGACGAAGUCACACUGGAGUAGGCUGGGCCCUAAAUCAAAUGGCUGUUAGUUUUAUAAGAAGAGGGAAAUUUGGACACAGACACACACAAAGAGGAACAACCAGCGUGUGAAGACAGAGGCAGAGAUUGGAAUGAGGCAGCCACAAGCCAAUGAACCGCUGCAGCUCCCAGAGGCCAGAAGAGGCAAGGGAAUAUCCUCCCCUAGAGGCUGCAGAGGGAGCACAGCCCUGCCAGUGCCUUGAUUCGAGACUUCGAGACUUCCAGCCUCCAGAACUGGGAAAGAAUAAAUAUCU